rnacentral:rRNA from 1 species
UAAGGAAUAUUGGACAAUGGACGCAAGUCUGAUCCAGCCAUGCCGCGUGAAGGAUGAAGGUCCUCUGGAUUGUAAACUUCUUUUAUAGGGGACGAAAAAGGGGUUGUCUAACCCAACUGACGGUACCCUAUGAAUAAGCACCGGCUAACUCCGUGCCAGCAGCCGCGGUAACACGGAGGGUGCAAGCGUUAUCCGGAUUCACUGGGUUUAAAGGGCGCGUAGGCGGGAAUGUAAGUCAGUGGUGAAAUCUUGGGGCUUAACCCCGAAACUGCCAUUGAUACUAUGUUUCUUGAAUAUUGUGGAGGUAAGCGGAAUAUGUCAUGUAGCGGUGAAAUGCAUAGAUAUGACAUAGAACACCGAUUGCGAAGGCAGCUUGCUACAGAAAUAUUGACGCUGAGGCACGAAAGCGUGGGGAUCAAACAGG